rnacentral:rRNA from 1 species
CGCCGCGGUUAUACGAGGGGCUCAAGUUGAUAGCUCUCGGCGUAAAGAGUGGUUAAGAGAACAUAUACUAAAGCCGAACAUCUUCAUGGCUGUCAUACGCACCCGAAGAAAUGAAGUACCACUACGAAAGUGGCUUUAAACCUUCUGACCCCACGAAAGCUAGGUCA